AAGUAAAGAAGGGCACACGGGGGAUGCCUUGGCUCUCAGAGGCGAUGAAGGACGUGAUAAGCUGCGAUAAGGCCAGGGGAUGGGCACAUACCAAGUGAUCCUGGCAUUUCCGAAUGGGGCAACCCCACUACGUGAAGCGUAGUGACCAUCCGUUUAACGGAAUGGGGCAAACCCGGGGAACUGAAACAUCUAAGUACCCGGAGGAAAGGACAUCAACGAGACUCCGUCAGUAGUGGCGAGCGAACGCGGAUCAGGCCAGUGCCUGUGUGGAGUUUAUCGGAACGGUCUGGAAUGGCCGGCAAGAGUGGGUGACAGCCCCGUACGAGACGGACGACAUACAGGACUCGAGUAGGGCGGGACACGUGAAAUCCUGUCUGAACAUGGGGGGACCACCCUCCAAGCCUAAGUACUCCUCAGCGACCGAUAGCGAACAAGUACCGUGAGGGAAAGGUGAAAAGCACCCCGACGAGGGGAGUGAAACAGUUCCUGAAACCGGAUGCUUACAAACAGUGGGAGCUCAAGGUUCGUCCUGGGUGACCGCGUACCUUUUGUAUAAUGGGUCAGCGACUUAAAGUUACGAGCAAGCUUAAGCCGGUAGGUGUAGGCGCAGCGAAAGCGAGUCUGAAUAGGGCGACUUAGUUUGAUGGAUUAGACCCGAAACCCGGCGAUCUAGGCAUGACCAGGAUGAAGGUGGGGUAACACCCACUGGAGGUCCGAACCGAUUAACGUUGAAAAGUUACCGGAUGAGUUGUGUUUAGGGGUGAAAGGCCAAUCAAGCCGGGAAAUAGCUGGUUCUCCGCGAAAACUAUUGAGGUAGUGCCUCGGAUGAAUACCGAUGGGGGUAGAGCACUGGAUGGGCUAGGG
rnacentral:rRNA from 1 species